CUGGCUCAGGACGAACGCUGGCGGCAUGCUUCAUACAUGCAAGUCGAACGAUAAGGUCUCUUCGGAGAUACAUAAGUGGCGGACGGGUGAGUAAUAUGUAGGAAAUCUGCCCUAGAGAGGGGGACAACAGAGGGAAACUUCUGCUAAUACCCCAUAUGAGCGUACCUGAAAUGGUAUUCUUGAAAACUCCGGUGCUCUAGGAUGAGCCUGCAUCUGAUUAGCUUGUUGGCGGUGUAAUGGACCACCAAGGCGACGAUCAGUAGCUGGUUUGAGAGGAUGAUCAGCCACAAUGGGACUGAGACACGGCCCAUACUCCUACGGGAGGCAGCAGUAGGGAAUUUUGCGCAAUGGGCGAAAGCCUGACGCAGCAAUGCCGCGUGAACGUAGAAGCCCUUCGGGGUGUAAAGUUCUGUCAGUGGGGACGAAUAAUGACGGUACCCACAGAGGAAGCACCGGCUAACUCCGUGCCAGCCGCGGC
rnacentral:rRNA from 1 species